UGGGGAAUAUUGCACAAUGGGCGCAAGCCUGAUGCAGCCAUGCCGCGUGUAUGAAGAAGGCCUUCGGGUUGUAAAGUACUUUCAGCGGGGAGGAAGGGAGUAAAGUUAAUACCUUUGCUCAUUGACGUUACCCGCAGAAGAAGCACCGGCUAACUCCGUGCCAGCAGCCGCGGUAAUACGGAGGGUGCAAGCGUUAAUCGGAAUUACUGGGCGUAAAGCGCACGCAGGCGGUUUGUUAAGUCAGAUGUGAAAUCCCCGGGCUCAACCUGGGAACUGAAUCUGAUACUGGCAAGCUUGAGUCUCGUAGAGGGGGGUAGAAUUCCAGGUGUAGCGGUGAAAUGCGUAGAGAUCUGGAGGAAUACCGGUGGCGAAGGCGGACCCCUGGACGAAGACUGACGCUCAGGUGCGAAAGCGUGGGGAGCAAACAGG
rnacentral:rRNA from 1 species